GACGAACCGUGCGAACGUUAUUCGGAAUCACUGGGCUUAAAGGGCGCGUAGGCGGCCCGGUAAGUCAAAGGUGAAAUCCCUCGGCUCAACUGAGGAACUGCCUUUGAAACUGUCGGGCUUGAGGCCGGGAGGGGGUAGCGGAAUUCCCAGUGUAGCGGUGAAAUGCGUAGAUAUCGGAAGGAACAUCAGUGGCGAAAGCGACUUCCUGGACCAAUACUGACGCUCAUGUGCGAAAGCGUGGGGAGCAAACAGG
rnacentral:rRNA from 1 species